rnacentral:rRNA from 1 species
GAUGAACGCUGGCGGCAUGCCUAAUACAUGCAAGUCGAACGAACUACACCAUGAAUUUUGAAGUGCUUGCACGGAUUUUGGAUUGGAUUUUGUAGUGAGUGGCGAACGGGUGAGUAACACGUGGGUAACCUGCCCAUCAGUUGGGGAUAACUAUUGGAAACGAUAGCUAAUACCGAAUAUGAAACUAAAUCACAUGAUUAAGUUUUGAAAGAAGCGUUUGCUUCGCUGAUGGAUGGACCUGCGGUGCAUUAGCUAGUUGGUGAGGUAAAGGCUCACCAAGGCGACGAUGCAUAGCCGGGCUGAGAGGCUGAUCGGCCACAUUGGAACUGAGACACGGUCCAAACGCCUACGGGCGGCAGCAGUAGGGAAUUUUUCGCAAUGGACGAAAGUCUGACGGAGCAAUGCCGCGCGAAGGAUGAAGGUUUUCGGAUCGUAAACUUCUGUUGUAGGGGAAGAAAGUUAGAAGUAGGAAAUGGCUUCUAUUUGACGGUACCCUACCAGAAAGCCACGGCUAACUACGUGCCAGCAGCCGCGGUAAUAC